rnacentral:lncRNA from 1 species
GCAGCGUUCAGUGGACAGCAGUUGAAAGUCAGCGGUGCCUAUGAGAAAGGCUCCAACUCGAGGACCUUGCUGCAGAGACUCCUCAUCAGCACACGCAGGUGCACGCAGCUGGAUUGAAGUGCAUUCCUUGUGUGGCAUGUUUGUCUGCUAAGGGUGGGGCAGGGGACAGCAGGUGGACAGAGCGCAGAUUGGAAUGCAGCAACGUGAGCUCCCACCAUCCUUCCCUCCUAAGAGAUGCUGAUCACGGACAGCCAGGCAGCCACUUGCCAGUCCUCCAGCCCCCAAGGUCGAGACCCUCGUCCUUCAUGUUUAAGGACUAGAAAACCUGACACAUGGAAGUAUUUAAACUAUGGAAAUGACAUUUGUCCUGUGUUUCUGGAAGCCCGAGGGUGGGGGGGAAGUAUAAGCUGUUGUGGGAAGAUUAAAUAAGUGCACGAGAGCCGCCAAGAAACCCUGUAUGUUUAAAUAUAUCCCCCUCUGUCAUUUGGCCCCGGAGGAAAGAGCAAUGUCAGGAAUGAACUACUAAUUACCAGCCACAUCCUGGAAGAGAGACUGGGAGCGUCCACGUUGGAAGGGACAUUGGAAGGGACGAGGGGACUUAGAGUUCUCAGCAGCUAAGUCUAAGAACCCUGGCAGCAGGAGGCAGCCCCAGGGAAUUCCCUCUGAAUUCUUCUUGCCCCAUCCAAAUCCCCCAAGAAAAGGACAGCAUGAGAGACAGAUGAAGCCAAGUAUCCGGAAUGGAGGGGAAGGACAGUGGACAACAGAGGUGGCCAAUGGGGCUGGGGAGUGGGGGAGGGGUAGGUAAACCCUACGUAGAUAUGCCCUUUAAGAAGCUGUGCCGUCAGUCUAUGGAGUGCUCCCUACAUGUCCAGCAUGCUAAAACCCACAAGCCUGGCUCUAGGAGAACACACGGCCCUCUGAGGGAAGUGCUGCUAUUAUUCCACCUUAUAGAUGAAAACCAGGAGGCUGACUGGGGAAGACGAUGGGUUUAUUUCUGGACAUAGAGAAUUGCAGGUGACAUAAAUUCUAAAAGGGGAUUUCCCAAGACAGUCGAAACCCACGGAAACUGCUGGGUGUGCAGUGUAUACCUGUAAUCCCAGCAUCUUGGUAGGUUAAGAGGGGGGGAUCACUUGGGCCAAGGAGUUCAAGGUCAGCCUGGACAACACAGUGAGACCCUAUCUCAAGAAUAAAUAAAACACUGAACCUGGAGAAUGGUAGGGAAGAGGGUACCGCUGGGGAAGAAGGAUGCAGGGCAUAUAGAUUUCCAUACAGAGCCUCACGCAUCUUUUGAGUUUUGAUCAUAUUGAGGUAGGUAGAAGAAUUAAGAACAGGCAGAAAGGAGAGAAACAGGGAAGGAGAGGGACUGUAACUUUAAAACUCCAUGAACACCUUCUCCUUUAAUCCCCAGGAAAUCCUCUUUUCCUCCAGGUCUGAAUUCUUCAAAGGUCCAGUAAACCUUAGAGUACUGUCAGUCCAAUUAAUUGGUGCCCAUAUACCUUGUUAGCUUACAGGAUGUAUUUUCGAAUAAUUAAAAGAAGCCCAGAGAGAGAUUGCUAGACACCUCUGAUACGGUCCAGUCCAAGCGCUGUUAACUAGAUAACGUCAACAUGAAGACUCUGAGAAGAACCAGACCACCUAGACCAGCUCUGGGAUCCACCUUCAAAAGAACUGAGCUCAUUAGGCGGAUGCCACCCGGGUAGGUCUCCAGCCCACUGUUUACAAAGUCCGCUUUAGAAGAGAGCCUGAGACCCCUGCGUGUGUCUCGCUCUUGAGCGCCCACACCCCUCUCCCUCGAGAGCAGGUCCUGCGCUGUGGCUUGUUCUCCUAAAGAAAUCCCUUGCUUUCCUGAAUAAUCCUUUGCUUGUGCCUCAUUUGACGUGUCGUCCUGAAAUUCCUUUGUGCAGCUUAAGUCAAGAACUUG